AGUCGCCUGGCGCCCAAACACCAUUGCGCGCAUAUCUCCUUUUUUUUUCCUUUCCUCUCGUCUUAUCUUCCUAAUAACAUGCCCUAAUCGAACUCAAAUGGGUAACAGGAUUCUUGUCAGUGACCUACGUUGAUUUAACUGCAUUGRAACUCAAACGGAAGCAGUCAGGGAAACGACACCUGUUCAUCGUCUUAACGGUUGGCGAUACUGAUUAAAUCUUCUAUACCUAUUUGCAGCCGAAGUAAAUAGAGCAUAGUUUUGCAUCCAUUCUCACUUUCAGAUCGCAAAACCCUCAAAGAGAGAAAUAGAGGAGAACGGUUCUGAACUACGAGAGAAAAGGUCACCUAUCUUUUUGGAAGAUUUACCUUCGUUUUUAGGUAGAUUUGCAAAGGAAACUUUGAUCUACCUUCGUUUUUAGGUAGAUCUACAUUCGUUUUCAGAGAGGCAACUCUAAUAUACCUUUGUUUUUAGAAAUUAUUGGCAUCUGUAAGCCUUGGCUUUAAACACAAAUUUUCCAGUGUCAGGUAAAAUCCUUCUCUUUAGUUCAUUCCUACUGUCUUAUGAUGAAGUUUGUCAUGAAUGGAUGGAUGAUGAGAGGGAGGUACUCUCGGACAUUAGGGGUGGAAUGGAUGAAUGAAUGCAUACACUGGAGUGCUUUUUUCUUUACCGGUGACCUUACUCCUGAACCUAUUCCCCGUAACCAUUGCAACCCACCACCGAAAGUGUUGCACUUAAAACAUAUCCGACCCUAACACGUCUCCCGGCUUUCCCCCAAUCUCUUUCUUUUAUUUCACUAGCCACAAACAGUAUUCCAGUGACUGGGAUAGCAUCAUGUGAAAGGACUAAAAUAUUCUUUUCGACAUGGAUAAUGCCCUGCUCUCCAUGAGGAUGAGUCCCUCCUUAGGUCCUUGGAGUUGGGUCUUAUUUGGAAUUGGCAAGGUUUGGACUUUGAGAAGCAUCUUUUGCUAUAAACUUAAGGAGAACACCAUUAUAACUUCUUCCAAGAAUCAGGUUUGAAUGCUUAGUUCAAUUGUUGACUUUUUGCAUCCCAACAAGUAUGAAUUUGUUGUUGGGUAGCCUUUCAUAAGACAAGGAAAACUACAAUACUAGCUGUUAUCCUAAUUAGGGUUCUUUUAGUAGAAGCACUCUUGACUGUUCCUAGGUUCUUAUCCUUUCAAAAUAAUAAUAAUAAUAAUAAUAAUAAUAGUAAUAAUAAUAAUAAUAUCAUGUCUUAAGGAACCAUUUGUGGUGUGCUUACUUAAGGCUAAGGGGCUGUUUGAUAACCAAAGUUUCCUAGUUGAAAGACUUGUAGCUUUGUCCUUUGAUGGAUAAAAUGAUUAAAUAAUAAAAUAUUCUAAGAGUAUAGUAGUCUAUUCAACUUCAGCUUCAGCCACUAGGGAUCCCACAAAACCUCUUUAAAAACUAAUUCACUAAAAGACAAAGCAGUAAGAUUUCACUUCAGCUGUUAUCAAAUGGUCCCUUAUAGUUCCAAGCCCAACAUCAGAGUAGACAUUUAGGACACCUUGAAGGUAGGUCAAUUUAUUAUUUCCAUUUUUUAUUUUCUUGGUAAAUUAAACCACAUUGGAGGGGGUAGUUCAGCAUUUCUACUUGUUUUAGAAAAGCACUUCAUGAUACAAUUAUUAUGAAUUUCUUCUGUUUUUUGAGCCAAUGAGUGAAGAUCAUUCUCAUCUACUCAUCCAUAUAUCCUUUUAAUUUAUAUUGUCAUUUGAAAGGCAACAGUUCAAAAUUUCUGAUUGAUCUUGCAUUGUGUACUUGAGACAAAGGGAAAGGGUAUAGAGGACAAUCUUUCUUUUUCCCCUAUAACAAUGUAUUGAAUGUAUUAUUGCAUACUUUUUGGAGGCUUAAUAGGAGCCCUAGACAUGCAACAGUAGUGUAGCACAAUUAACACAAGUAUAAUCAAGAUUCAAUAAAAACAGUAGUGUCGCCCAUGUUAUCAUUAACUGAACUCCAGCUUGAUUAUAACCAGUUGAAACCAGAUGUUCCCCCAUUCAUAUUUGAAUGUUCAAAGCUCAUUUUUCUAGACCUGUCAA